rnacentral:rRNA from 36 species
ACAUAGUGAGGGUGAGGGAACUGGCCCUUG